UUGAGUUCAGUUUAGUGGUAAAGCACUUGCCUUGCAUGCAUGAGGCCCUGGGUUAAUCCCCGGGAUUUCAAA
rnacentral:tRNA from 1 species